rnacentral:rRNA from 1 species
UACAGAGGUCUCAAGCGUUGUUCGGAUUCAUUGGGCGUAAAGGGUGCGUAGGCGGCGCGGUAAGUCGGGUGUGAAAUCUCGGAGCUUAACUCCGAAACUGCAUUCGAUACUGCCGUGCUUGAGGACUGGAGAGGAGACUGGAAUUUACGGUGUAGCGGUGAAAUGCGUAGAUAUCAGGAAGAACACCCGUGGCGAAGGCGGCUCUCUGGUACGUGACUGACGCUGAGACGCGAAAGCGUGGGGGAGCAAACAGG